AAGUGCGCCAUAAGAAAGUAUAGAUCUUUUUGUUUGUCUAUUUUAUGUGUUUGCUGAUCAAUUAAAUUAUAGUCUGUUGUCGUGACAAAAUAACCUUUUUUUUAAAGAAGAAGAAAAUAAUUGGUGUACUGUCUACCUUCCGCUCUGAACACGUCACGUUGGGGCGGCACUCACAGCAGGUGUGCUCUCUGGGUGCGAGAAGAAUAGAAGGAACAGAAUAGACGCACCUUCCGUUAUUUUCAGGGUGUAUCGACACAAUGAUGGACCUUAGACGCAUAGGCGGGUGUGUGCCGUUAUUUUUUCUGGCUAUUGGUUUUGAUGUUAUUGGUUUUAUUAUCCUGUUCAUUGGAAUUUUUGCCAAUUUCCGUAUCGAUGGCAGGUUUUAUGGCGAUUUCUUGAUUUACAGUGGUUCAAUUAUAAUUUUCAUAAGUUUGGCUUGGUGGAUUAUGUGGUACGUGGGAAAUAUACAGGUCUCAGAAGACAGCUUUGGAACAAGCUUAAUGAAAAAUAAACUGAGUUUUGUACAGUUGGCCAGAAAGUUGUCAGAGAGGCUUUCCAAAAAAUGCAAACAUGAACAUGUAACCACAAAGUAUGCAGAGGAAAACAAGGUUAAAGCUGUGACGCCUUCACCUGUUCACGUCGCCUCUCGAAUAACCUGGGGGAAAUAUCAGAAUGGCGGCUAUGACUCCAGCUUGGACUCCUUUCAGAUGGAGAAGGAAAAACAGACACCAGAUAUACAGAACUUGGAUGUGCAGACCCUCUCUAGGGGUAAUGUUGAAAGGCUGUUCUGAUUGUUCUCCGUAGCACUGUCUGAUCCCAAGACUACCUUCAACACUGUACGCUUCACGGAAUGGGACUACAGACAAUUCAGGACAUUAAUCAGUACUGGUCUGGACGUUAGUUCUUGACAACAAAGACUCAUCAUUAUGGGGUAAAUGACCCAUAGUCCUAGGGAUAUAGGCCUACUGUAGAUAUUGCUCUAAAUGCAUGUUAUAUUGUUUUCGUUUUUUAUUUAUAUAUAUCAAUUAUUAAUAUAAUCUCCAUGUGAUGUUAUGUGAACUUUUUAUGUUCCAGGAUCAAUAUUAUGUGGAAAGGCUAUAUUUUGUCAUAUAAACAUAUCGACAUGUUAAGGUUCAUCGUAGCCAUUUUCUAGAAUAGUCUCAGACGGAAAUCCUAGAGGCCUCUGUCUGAACGGCAGGUAAUUGAACACAGACUCUCCCCAAGCCAGACCCAGAAAUGCAAUCACCUGCAUUUACAAUUGUUUUACAUAAAAACAGUAGUCAGGCAGGUUUGCCUGUGCCACAACAAUUGCAUUGCCAAAGCAGGCUGUAAACUCUCAACAAAACGUUGUGUGGCCUGGGGCACUGAGCUUGGUUUCACCUGCAUGUUGACAUUACAUGGACAUUUGGGCUAUACUCUUUUAACUGUUCAUUGAGUAGGCUGAUUUUGUUUUUAUUCAUGUGCGCAAACUUCUAAAAUGCAUAUUCCACCAGACUGCAUUUUUUAAAAUGUUGUGAUUUAUUUUAUAUUUUAUUUCUUAAUAUUCUUUAGAUUUCAGUUGCCUUACCAACAUAUAGCUUUUGUCUAACAUUACUGAUAAUGAGCGUGUGCAUAUCAAGUCAUUGUACUCAGGGCGUUGCCUGUCUGUAUGCUAAGUAUUACCUAAUCCUGGCCUGUUGACUCUGCUUUGCGGUCCUUGGUUGAAUAGCUGUUGCACAGAGGUAAACCAAACUCCCACGACUGUCUGACUGGUCAAACCAGGUACUUAAAGGGUGAGGUUUUUCACUGCAGUUCCUCUUUCUGUCAUGAUGUAGGAAGCAUGAAAUAGUAAAUAAUUGUGGAAUGCGUCCAGUAGGCCUUCUGCAGGCUAAAUAUAAACUGCUGAUAAAAUCACUGAAAUAUAUCUUCCCAACAUACAGUAUCUUUUCCCACACUGUUCAUAAUGUUAGAUGUUAUACAUAUAUGCUGAUGUCAUAAUAUUAAUAUGAAAUGCAUUAUUAUUUUAUACACAGAGGCAUGGUGCAUUAGAUUUUUAUUUAUUUUAAAUAUACAUCCAAUGAUCUUGAUAAGCAUACAAAAUAAAAAUAGUUAUCUAAUGA